UACGGGGGGUGCGAGCGUUGUCCGGAAUCACUGGGCGUAAAGGGCGCGUAGGUGGUUUGAUAAGGGUGUGGUGAAAGUCCGGAGCUCAACUCCGAAUCUGCCGUGCCGACUGUCAAACUCGAGGGCUGUAGAGGCAGACGGAAUUCCGGGUGUAGCGGUGGAAUGCGUAGAGAUCCGGAGGAAGACCGGUGGCGAAGGCGGUCUGCUGGGCAGUUGCUGACACUGAGGCGCGACAGCGUGGGGAGCAAACAGGG
rnacentral:rRNA from 1 species